rnacentral:rRNA from 1 species
ACACUCCUGCGGGAGGCAGCAGUGGGGAAUUUUGGACAAUGGGCGAAAGCCUGAUCCAGCCAUGCCGCGUGCAGGAUGAAGGCCUUCGGGUUGUAAACUGCUUUUGUACGGAACGAAACGGCCUUUUCUAAUAAAGAGGGCUAAUGACGGUACCGUAAGAAUAAGCACCGGCUAACUACGUGCCAGCAGCCGCGGUAAUACGUAGGGUGCAAGCGUUAAUCGGAAUUACUGGGCGUAAAGCGUGCGCAGGCGGUUAUGUAAGACAGUUGUGAAAUCCCCGGGCUCAACCUGGGAACUGCAUCUGUGACGGCAUAGCUAGAGUACGGUAGAGGGGGAUGGAAUUCCGCGUGUAGCAGUGAAAUGCGUAGAUAUGCGGAGGAACACCGAUGGCGAAGGCAAUCCCCUGGACCUGUACUGACGCUCAUGCACGAAAGCGUGGGGAGCAAACAGGAUUAGAUACCCCGGUAGUCCCAUGA